GCAGAGUUCUCGGAGUCACGAAGAGUUUGAUCCUGGCUCAGGAUGAACGCUGGCGGCGUGCUUAACACAUGCAAGUCGAACGGGAUCCAUCAGGCUUUGCUUGGUGGUGAGAGUGGCGAACGGGUGAGUAAUGCGUGACCGACCUGCCCCAUACACCGGAAUAGCUCCUGGAAACGGGUGGUAAUGCCGGAUGCUCCGACUCCUCGCAUGGGGUGUCGGGAAAGAUUUCAUCGGUAUGGGAUGGGGUCGCGUCCUAUCAGGUAGUCGGCGGGGUAACGGCCCACCGAGCCUACGACGGGUAGCCGGCCUGAGAGGGCGACCGGCCACAUUGGGACUGAGAUACGGCCCAGACUCCUACGGGAGGCAGCAGUGGGGAAUAUUGCACAAUGGGCGCAAGCCUGAUGCAGCGACGCCGCGUGCGGGAUGACGGCCUUCGGGUUGUAAACCGCUUUUGAUCGGGAGCAAGCCUUCGGGUGAGUGUACCUUUCGAAUAAGCACCGGCUAACUACGUGCCAGCAGCCGCGGUAAUACGUAGGGUGCAAGCGUUAUCCGGAAUUAUUGGGCGUAAAGGGCUCGUAGGCGGUUCGUCGCGUCCGGUGUGAAAGUCCAUCGCUUAACGGUGGAUCUGCGCCGGGUACGGGCGGGCUGGAGUGCGGUAGGGGAGACUGGAAUUCCCGGUGUAACGGUGGAAUGUGUAGAUAUCGGGAAGAACACCAAUGGCGAAGGCAGGUCUCUGGGCCGUUACUGACGCUGAGGAGCGAAAGCGUGGGGAGCGAACAGGAUUAGAUACCCUGGUAGUCCACGCCGUAAACGGUGGAUGCUGGAUGUGGGGCCCGUUCCACGGGUUCCGUGUCGGAGCUAACGCGUUAAGCAUCCCGCCUGGGGAGUACGGCCGCAAGGCUAAAACUCAAAGAAAUUGACGGGGGCCCGCACAAGCGGCGGAGCAUGCGGAUUAAUUCGAUGCAACGCGAAGAACCUUACCUGGGCUUGACAUGUUCCCGACAGCCGUAGAGAUAUGGCCUCCCUUCGGGGCGGGUUCACAGGUGGUGCAUGGUCGUCGUCAGCUCGUGUCGUGAGAUGUUGGGUUAAGUCCCGCAACGAGCGCAACCCUCGCCCUGUGUUGCCAGCACGUCAUGGUGGGAACUCACGGGGGACCGCCGGGGUCAACUCGGAGGAAGGUGGGGAUGACGUCAGAUCAUCAUGCCCCUUACGUCCAGGGCUUCACGCAUGCUACAAUGGCCGGUACAACGGGAUGCGACACGGCGACGUGGAGCGGAUCCCUGAAAACCGGUCUCAGUUCGGAUUGGAGUCUGCAACCCGACUCCAUGAAGGCGGAGUCGCUAGUAAUCGCGGAUCAGCAACGCCGCGGUGAAUGCGUUCCCGGGCCUUGUACACACCGCCCGUCAAGUCAUGAAAGUGGGUAGCACCCGAAGCCGGUGGCCUAACCUUUUUGGAUGGAGCCGUCUAAGGUGAGACUCGUGAUUGGGACUAAGUCGUAACAAGGUAGCCGUAGUCCUGUGUGAAGUGAUCCGCUAAUCGUCGAC
rnacentral:rRNA from 1 species